UCAAAUCAGUUUAUUUUUCUUUUCUCUCCUAUCGUUCCCUGCAAUCAAGAAAGCAAGCUCCAUUCUCUCAAGAAAUCGAGAACCCAACUCGAAGGAGGGAGUCAUCGGUUAUUUUCUCAAAAUCCAUUCAAGAAACGGAUCUGCCAAGCCCAAAGAAAUACUCCUUUUUGCACCCCAAAUUCAAGUUCGACAGAAGGUUGAGCGGCGACGAGGAUGUGGUGGUGUUGAGCAAGUGAAUUUAAGAGAUUAUUAUUGU